rnacentral:hammerhead_ribozyme from 15 species
CCGGCGUCUAAAGUAGGCUCUCACUACAUUACCUUACUGAUGAGUCCAGUAGUGGAAGCCGGGACGAAACGCCAA